UCCGUUUUGUCAACGGCAGUCCUAUUAGAGUGCUCUUGCGUAGCAACUAAUAGUAAGGGUUGCGCUCGUUGCGGGACUUAACCCAACAUCUCACGACACGAGCUGACGACAACCAUGCACCACCUGUCUCUACUUUCCCCGUAGGGCACCUAAUGCAUCUCUGCUUCGUUAGUAGGAUGUCAAGACCUGGUAAGGUUCUUCGCGUUGCGUCGAAUUAAACAACAUACUCCACUGCUUGUGCGGGCCCCCGUCAAUUCCUUUGAGUUUCAAUCUUGCGAUCGUACUCCCCAGGUGGAUUACUUAUUGUGUUAACUGCGGCACGGAUGGGGUCAGUCCACCCACACCUAGUAAUCAUCGUUUACAGUGUGGACUAC
rnacentral:misc_RNA from 1 species